rnacentral:rRNA from 1 species
AUUGAACGCUGGCGGCAUGCUUUACACAUGCAAGUCGAACGGUAACAGGUUAAGCUGACGAAUGGCGAACGGGUGAGUAAUGCAUCGGAACGUGCCCGAUCGUGGGGGAUAACGCAGCGAAAGCUGCGCUAAUACCGCAUACGAUCUGAGGAUGAAAGCGGGGGACCGUAAGGCCUCGCGCGAUCGGAGCGGCCGAUGUCAGAUUAGGUAGUUGGUGGGGUAAAGGCUCACCAAGCCGACGAUCUGUAGCUGGUCUGAGAGGACGACCAGCCACACUGGGACUGAGACACGGCCCAGACUCCGACGGGAGGCAGCAGUGGGGAAUUUUGGACAAUGGGCGAAAGCCUGAUCCAGCAAUGCCGCGUGCAGGAAGAAGGCCUUCGGGUUGUAAACUGCUUUUGUACGGAGCGAAAAGGCUCUCUCUAAUACAGGGGGCUCAUGACGGUACCGUAAGAAUAAGCACCGGCUAACUACGUGCCAGCCGCCGCAGUAAGAC